ACCUGGCUGGCUCAGAUGGUAGAGCAUGUGACUCUUGAUCUCAGCAUUGUGAGUUUGAGCCCCAUGUUUGGUG
rfam:Mustela putorius furo unplaced genomic scaffold scaffold00037, whole genome shotgun sequence.